CCUCUUCCUCCUGCUCUGUCUCUGCUCUGGAGCCCCCAUGUGAGCCCAGAAGACUGGACAGGACGCCUUCUGCCAGCAUCCUCCAUAAGAUAAGUCUUAUGAUUAUGGAUGAUAAUUAAGACUGAGCUAGCAAGUAAGAAAUCCUAGUCAAUUGACCAGCAGCAUUGUAAACUAAUAUAAGACUGUGUGUUAUUCUAGGGAUCCAUGUAGAGGCAGGCCUCGGGCAGAUGGAGUAAAGACUUAUUGUUACAUGUCAGCAUAUUGAAGCAGAGAUGCAAGAGUAAUGAAGAUCAUGCUGCAUAGUGAUAUUGAACUUGAGAAAGCACAGUACUUCCUGGAUGAUUGUUUUGUGGCUACAUGAAUUAGGUACCUACCACAUGGUGGAUUGCUGCUUCUAUGCACUGAGAACACCAGUCAAAACUCUCAUUAUACUUUUUAUCAUAAGCUACUCCAAACCACUGCAUUCAUACAUGUUUAGUCACUUAUUCUACAAAUAUUAGUCAGAAUUACUAUGAUCCAGACUAAUGGCUUGCUAUGGUGUGGUGCAGAUAGGUAGCUGCCACCAAAAAGCAUCCCUCUCUUUCUACAGCAUUCAAAUGUCCUAAGAAAGUAUCUACUCACUCAGGAAUUGCACUCCCCAGGGUUAUGUAUGACUGUCCUCUGAGGCAGGAAAUAAACAUUUUGGAAGUUCUGCUGUGCCCCCAUUGGAAAAGGAUUAUUCCAGCAGAUCUGGUUGAUGGUUUAUAUUCCCUUAUACAAGUAUGGCAAGAGCCAUAAAAUCCUAAUCUGAGUAUUUAGAUAUUUUGUUCUACCUGUUGCAUUUGACCCUGCCUUAAUUGCCUCAGACUUCAGAGAGGAGUUAGAGUAUUUAAGCCAGGGACACUCGUAGAAUGGGGCUCCAUUUAUGUGGCUAUAGGAAAUCCCGCAUUCCUGCUGCAUAAAGAAUUUCCAGUUUGGCUUUUUGGAGGACAUUUUUUGACACUCCAUGCCACAUCCAUAACCCCUCACUUAAGCUCUGUAAUUAAGCUAAUAAAGACAUGAGCUGUGGUGCAAUCAUGACUCAGUUUGUUGUUGGGACCUUGAGAAGAGGGGUAGACACUGUCUAUGCCACCAUAUUUUAGGAAUUUUAGAUUCACCAAUUCACCUUGUAACUUAGGCGGGGCCACCUGAGUAGUUCUUAUUAUCAGAACACAAUUGACAGCUACGUGUGCCAUUCUGGGUUUAGGGUGAUAUCAGUGGGUGCCUUCUGUCUUUUCUCCUGCCCGUUGACAGUAGGGGGUUUGGGAGUCUAUUGGAAUAGAAGAGCCACAAAGUCUUAAGCAUCAGGAUUGAUCAACCAUGUAGAAAAAAGCCACUUGUCAACCAGGAGAACAUCAGGAAGUUUAAGUCUGUGGAGAAGACAAAGGCAGAAGGAAGAGUCACGCAGUGUAUUCCUAAAAGACACAUAUCAGGGAUACAAAAUAUCAUAAUUUUAUAAUAUCAUCAACAUAUCACAAAUAUAUGUGUAUAUGUACAUAUAUACACAUAUGUGUGUAUGUAUAUAUACUAAAAUAUAUUUUAUAUUAUAGUCCUCUAAUAUUUUAUACUAUAUAUUUUAGCAUAUAUAUAUAUAUAUAUAUAUAUAUAUAUAUAUAAACUUUGAGUGUGUUGUAUCUCCCUUAAUUUAGAAUUCUGUGAUGCUCCUGCAACUGAAGGCAUAUGUGUGCAGAUUUUUAUAUGGAAAUAUUUUUCUAGUUUCUACAGCAUACAUAUGAUUCUAAAUUAAAAAAUCAAAUGAAUUAGUAUCUAGAAACAUUUGAUAUGAAAUGAAAUGAAAAGAGAAAAAAGCACAAUACUCUCCUAAUUAUUAAAAAACAUUAAUAAAGUGCUGAAUUUUAAAUCAUCUGGUAAUUGAGGAUGAAUAGGUUUUAAGAAAGGCAUCCCAAAGGUCAUUCAAUGAACUCAAAAACCCUUCCAGUGAUUAUUCCAUUAGCACAGGCAAUGUAUCCUGAGAGGCCAGAUUUUGUUUUCCAUAACAGAUUAGAAAAGGAAGAAUUGAGUUAGGAAAAUGAAGUGCUACAUUCAGAGUUUGUGGAGGAAUCCCAAGGACCUCUUGAGACACUUUGCCCACUCUUAAUCAUCUGAGUAUUCCCUUAAAAUUGAAAUGUGUUCCAAGAGAGCCCUUAUCCUCAGAAUUGAAAUUCCUUCUGUGUGUCAGGGCCCAGUGUUUGCAGUGAUUAUCUUAAUAGGGAGUCCUUUCAGAUCAGCUACAGUCUAUAACUUUGCUUUCCUUUUUAAAAGGGCCAGCAUCUCUCCUCAACCCCAAACUGCAAACCACUUAGACAGAGGCACAAUGUUUUCUAACUCUCUUGAUUUUAUCUUCCACCACAUUUCAGGUCCACAUUUUCAACUGCAAUUUGAGCACAGGAAAAAGCAGUUUUCACACAUGAUCUUUUGAGUGUCACUUGCUGUAUUUCACCUUCCUAUUAGAAACUGAGACAUCAUUUGCAAGAUUUUCCUAAACAGGGGAUUCGCUUUUUUUUAUCCCACAGAAGCGAAUCUGUUACUAAAUUUAUCCAAAGAUAUCUAAUGCCUAAAUAACAUUGGCAUUUUAGAAACAAAGCCACAGCAACAUCGGAGUCGUUUUUUGUAAGAGCAAAGUGGGUUCAGUGGAGAUUGGCUCAUUGUGAUGGUUGUGUACAAGUUUUGAACAUCUCCUUGAAUAAUUCACAUCUGCAACUUAGAAUUCUCCUCAUGUCUCCAAGGCAAACUAAAUGAUUACCUUAAAUUUUGGUGUACACAGAUCCAAACACAGGAGCUGGGUGGUUGUGAUGGCUAGAGGCGAUUAAGUGAUGGGUGCUGUCUGAGCUGAUCAAAGGUAGAGUGUGUUCUGAUACCUCAUGCUUCUUGCAUAUGGGAAGAAUUCCCUAUUUAUGCUGGAGCUGAAACUGGCUUCCAUCCCCCACUUUGUGACCAGCUGCUUACUCCAACAGCAUUUCUUCAUCUUUCAAAGAACAGAAUCUUGUUUGUUUGUUUAUUUGUUUGUUUUUAGUUUGAUAUAUCAUCAACCAAAGACUCUUUUUUUUAAAAUUAUCUUUCCUAGUAUGUGAUGUCAUACCAUGGCUCAGUUUGGACAAUGAGGUAUCAGAGAGUAUGAUGGCAUUCCCAUUGAGACCAGUAAAAAAAAUAAAAAAUAAAAAUAAAAAAGCCAAAUAAAUGCACAAAAUAAGCAAAUGUCAUGCGUACUUAAAACCAUUAAAGACUUCCAAAGCAGCUAGAAAUAGAGGCACUUAGUGUUCAGGGGCUACAUCUAAUAGACUGAGUAGCAGAUAAACAACAGAAGUUCAUCUCUCAGUUCUUCAGGCUGGGAAGCCUAAGCUCCAGGUAUCAUACAAUGAGAGUUCAUUUCCUGAUUCACAGAAGUGUUCCAUUUUCCCUGUGUCCUGAUAUGACUAAAAGGAUAUUAAUGCCUUUGGCUAGGGAUCUGCUCUCCUAACCUAAUCACCUCCCAUGGUCGUUUGAGUGCAACCAUGACUGCUGCUUGAUGCCAUGCUUCUUUGCCAUGAUGGACUCAUAUCUGGUGUCAUUAGCCAAAUAAACCCUUCCUUCUUUAAGUUGUCCUGGCCAUGGUUUUUCUUUAUUGUAGCAAUAGAAAAGUAGCAAAUACAUGUCUUAAAGGCACCACCUCCAAUGAAUUUAAAUUGGGUGGUUAAGUUUCAACAUAUUAAUUGGAGAGGAGGGUCAUGGAGAUAAAACACAUAAGCAU
rnacentral:lncRNA from 1 species